UUUUCCAGUAUGUAGCAGAGGCAUGCUGAAUGUGUGUUAAUGAAUAAAUAAAUGUUUCCUUUAUAUCAUGAAGCCCAUUAGAUAAUAUUUUUUAUCCUCCAUGACUGAGAGCCUGAUGACGAAAAGGAUGGUGAUUUUGCCUCUAUUUCCUCAAUGCUUGAAGGCCCUAAUAAAUGUUCCUUGAGUAAAUGAUCGAAUGGUGUUUCUUCAUUAUGCACAGUGUUGUGUGGGUUCGUCUGUCUUUGCAACUGUGUGGCAUCUGUGGGCAGGGCUCGGAAUUGGUCGUUGUCACAGAGACUGUCAAUUUUUCCCACAUCGGUUUUCUCCUUCACAGAGCCUCUGAGUUUUAGCUGGGCACGUGGCUGCCUGAAUAAGAACAAUGUUUUCCUGCUUUCUUGAGGGGCGACUAGGAUCUGGCUGGAGAGAUACCAGUGCCGUGACCGGUGCAGCUCUCUCUUCCUCCCAUUCCUUCCUCCCACUGGCUGGCGUGCAAGAUGGACUGGGAAGACGUCUUUGCCAUGAGGAUGAAGAAGCCAAGUCUCCGGGAGGCUCAGUAGCUCACUGUGGUAAUCUGGCUCACAACAGAGAAAUCUCAGAGUCAGGAUUUACACCCAGGGAAGCUUGUCCAGAUGCCUGCUCUUCCAGCUACUUCAGGUGUGUUCCUUGCUUUCUAAAGUAUAUGGUCUGGGACAGUGAUGCAAAUUACCUUUAAUGAGGGGAGAAAAGGACAGGACCAGAUGAGCAGUAUCGAGGGAGGGACACCUUGGACAAGAGGAAAGCCAGAUAGAGAGCAUGUGGUCGGAGGUCAGGUUCUAAGAUGACCAAGGACAGGUGAAGCUAAUGGAGCAGUAUGUGGGUGGAGCUGAGUGGUGCAGGGUGUAGGCUGAGAAUAAGGCAGAAGACCAGGAGCUGCCUGCUAUCAAGUGUUAGCCACAGGGAUAAGGGAGAGACCACCUGGCUUGCAGAUGCCGGUAGGGGCCUGGGAUGGAGAGGGUCAGCAUUAGCACCUCUCUCUUAUAAUGAAAUAAGUUGCUUCCUACAGCUCCUCUCCUUGCAAACCUGUCCUGUAGGUUCCAGGAAGAAGCAGAAGGUCCUGGAGUGUGUGUGCACACACACACACACAUACACUCACGAGUAUCUCUUCCAACAAGGAGGAAAGAGGCCUAAGGGAUGGGCUAUGACUUCUCUGACAUAAAGCUUUCCCUCUCUAGCCCUGUCUUUGCAGCUCUCUCCCAGCUGCAGGGCUGAACAGUGAGGGGUGGUCCCUGCCAGACCAGCCAUCCUCUGCCACAAACCGACUCCAUUUAUUUUCAGAUUUUAUGUGCUUUAAAAUAGACUUGCUGGUAGGUACCCAAAUCCAGCAGACCUGAAAAAUGCUUACCAGGCAGAAAAAAACUGAAGGACACCGGCUUCCCUUACCGGACUCAGUGCUGCCCCUGCCCUCCCCCAAAACACAUCUUUAAGGUGCAGAGACCCCCCAAAAUUUUCCCAAUCAUUUCCCCAAUCACUCCAAUUCCUGUGAGCACUCCAUAAAAAGCUGAUAGGAAAGAAGAAUCCUAAUGGCCUGGUGAGAAAGAAAAUUCCAUUUUCAUCAUCCGGAUGGUGAAAUGGACCAGGUGCUCAUGGGUUGGAUUCACCAUGAGUUUGGAUUCACACUGCAGUUUGGAGACAGGGCGAGAUGAGAAUCCGGAGAGAGAGGCAGGGUGGCAGCCUAGCAUCCAUUUUCGUGGCCGCUGUGCUCUGUUCCUUUUCCCCACUGGCCCCUCAGAAGCUUCUUGCCCAGGAGACGCUGCCUCAGGGUGUUCACACCAGGGGAGGUCUCACCGCACCUGAUGUCACAGCCUGGACUUUACCUGUGCAUGUAACCAACAAGCAGUAGAGAGGCUUCGGACACUGCUGUGCCUUGGGAAUACUAAAGUAUAUACAAAUAAAUAAAACAUGGUCUCCUUCAAGGAGAGUCAAGAGAACACAAGGUGCUAUAGGUACACAUAGUAGGGGAACCUAAUUAAUACAUUUGGAGGUUAAGGAAGGCUCCCUCCCUGGAGAAGGUGACCUUGAGGUUGGGACUGGGAGGAAGACUAGGGGCUCAUAGUCAGGUGGCAGCAUGAUGAGCCAGGAAAGGAUGCUCCACGCAGAGGGAACGGCAUGUGGAACAUUACCAGAGGUAAGAAACAGCCACCUGUGUCUCUGAGACCACAGGUGCUUCAGCGUGACCAGAGUGGAAGAUGCCAGGGAGUGGUGGGCACAACCAGUGGAAGGCACAGCGGGUCCAGACGCUGGUCAGCCUGUAAGAAGGGCUUAAAGAGUUUGGACUUCACGGGGGGCAAACUUUGUUUGGUUCACUGCUGUAUCCCCUGCAGCUAGAUGGGUGAAUAGCACAGAGUAGAUGCUCAUCCAUAUUUGUGGUUGAAUAAGUGGUCAAAACAGAAAGAUUUUAAGCAGGGACAAGAUCUGAUGAGUUUUGCAUUUUAGAGUCAACACCUGGGCUGCCGUGCAGAGAAGAGAUUUCAGGGCAAUGAUGCUGAGGUGGGCAGCAGAGAAAUGACAGAGGCCAUAACCACUGAUGUCAGUGGCGGUGGAGACAAUGGGCCGGUAAAAUCCACAGGACUUGAUGAUCGGUCUACAGGUGGUGGUGGGAAGGAGGAGCCCAGAUGAAGGACAACAGGAGUUAACAUCCUCUGAGGGCCCCCGGCAAGGUGCAGACGACAGCCGCGAGGCAGGGCAGUCCCCAAGGGACAUCGGCCUCUGCUCAGCUGGGAGUCUGGGCUCGGUUGUGAUGUUUGGUUCUCUCAGCUGUGAAACAAAGAUACUACUCUUCACCUUGCAGGGAGAGAGAUCAGAGAUUCUGCAAAGCACGUAGCACAGUGCCUGACACGCAGUGGGUGUUCAGGGUAAAGCCUCCGGAUCACUUGAGCUGGACUCCGAAAGACAGGAGCCCUUCCAGACAGUGGGAUACCGGGUCAGGGGAGGACAUCCAGGUGGUGGGACUAGAGAGCACAGAACGUCCGUAGGAAAGCAUGAGGAGUGGGGAGUCAUUCAGCCCGACUGAAAUGCGGGCAAAUGUGCGCGAGAGGGAGGUGGCGAGGGCAAGUAGAGAAUAAGGAGGAUCUUCAUUGCCCUCUGCUUCUUCCUCCCCAUGCGGCUGUGCUUCCUCGGUGCAGCCUCUGACGUCUCGUCCAUCUUCCCACCUCCCGCCUUUUGCCUUGCAAUCCAGUCUCCACACCGCAGUGGGGGUUUGCACACAGUCUGGACUUAACAGUCCCUGAAGGUUUGGGGCAGGGGAAUGACUAGAUAGUCACCGUGGGUAAGUUGUGAGCCCCAGACAGCAACGUAUGGGGUGAGGGUCACACUGCAGCUUAAGCUCCGCUGCUCCGCUUAGGCAGCUCUCCGCCACCCACAAGUACAGCCCAAACUGACUUGCAUGUUCUGUAAAGCUCACGUCCCCGGCUGCCCGCCCCUGUCUGCCCUCCGUCUGCCUCACACCACCUCUGAGCCCCGCAGGGUGUGGACACCAAGUCUCUCCUCCUUCCCACCAGGGUACCCCAAAUGACAGAUGUGAAGGACCUGGACCCCAAGAGAGUAGUUUUGACCAGUCUGUUUGCCUGCCCUACCAGUUCUGCGAUGACAAAGGCAAAAGAGGGUGUUAAUCAUGUUUGCACCUUCAAGGCUAUUGCAGUGACUGGCACAUAGUAGGCACUCUAUUCAGCAGAGAGGGAGAAACCCCGAAGGUUUGUGAAUGGGGUGUGAAGUUGGACGUGGACAGAGAUGGGACUCUUAGGAUCCUGCUGCCCUUCUACAGAAUCACAGGGUGGCUCCAGCGAGGUGCCCUAUGCGGCUUUCACUUGCGGCAGGCCAAGCGUGUCCACACCGGGCAACUGGGUCUUCCCUAUAAUCCUAGAUAAACAUGCCUUUGCUGCUAGAUGUAUACCCAAAGCCAGAAGCUCAGAGCAAGGAGGCAUCUUUAAAGGGCAUAAAAAGCAAUAUACGACUGAGAUGCUGCUGUCUGUGUUCUAGGGUUGAACUGGGGCUCUCUGGCAAUUUCACAGCCUCCAGACCACCUCUGCUUGGAGGGAGUAGGGAAGUUAGUCUACUCCCAAAUCUGGGCUCUCAAGGCCUCCGGAGAGGCCCCUCCUGGCCUCCCACACCGUGGAGCCCUCUACAGGCAGUUGCAAAUAAAGGUCAUCUGAUUCGGCCACGUCUUGAAGGUCUGGGUUUUGACCUUGCUGGGAUUUAUUGACUCAGGUUAUCCAAACACGGAUUUCUAAAGACUAUAAGGUUUUUCUGAGUGUGUUCCCACCCCCUGCUCCUGCCUCUGACUAUUUAUAAAGCUCCAGCCCCAGUUUCUGAAGGCUCCCGACCUAGGGGUGGGCGUGGCGGUCGUUUCUGUACCUUCUAUUUACCUGUCUCUGCAGCUGCAGGAGACAAUGAGCAAACUCUCUUCCCAGAAGCAGGCUAUGGAGAUUCAGAAGCACAGAAGAGCUGUUUUAGCCAGAGCCGUUAAACUAUAGGAAGCUUUGCACAGAAAAGAAGAAAUAAAUCAAUGCUCGCUUAAGGAAAAUGAAGACCAAACUUUUCUGGAAAAACAAAAUGUGAUUUUCAAAUUAUCAGAGCUGGCUUUAGUAAUCACAGAGGGAAUUAAGCUCCUGGAAGCUCUUCACCGGGUGCCUGCUGGUAUCCUUGCCGGCUUAAAUCCCAGGUCACAUUAAUUACUGAUACCCGCAUUCUUUCCCUUUCCGUCUGACCCCAGCCACUUGCCUGCAUCCCAAUCUCCCUCCUUUUCUGUCAGCUGCAUCUGCUACUAUAUUACCAUUCAUAUAUGGGUAAGGUGGGGAAAAUCGGAGGAAACAAUGAAGGCUCAUUCCAAGACAUAUGCCAAUUCUUGCUUGAACCAUUAAAAUAGGCUUCUAACCCACCUCCCUGGCUCUAAUUUUGUCCCUCUUCAUCCUCCACACAGCUGCUGCUCCAGAUAUCUGUCUAAAAUGUAAAUUUGACGCUGGCUGAUGCUGGCAGCUCCAAGUGUCCUCAUUGUCCCAUGCAAGGUCUCCAGGAUUUAGCCCCGCCUCUUGCUCCUGUGAUUAAAUCGGCCACCAAAAAUACGGUAUGACUAGGUCUUCCUCCAUAAACCCAGGUUCCUAACACCAUGCCAGUCGCACUGCUUCCCUCUGAUCCGGUCUUCCAAAAGAGCUGAGAUCUAAGUCGGAAAGUAAAUAAAGGAGAGGAGAAAAGAGAAAAUCUGCUAAGAAAGGAUGUGCAAUGAGAGGGUGUAGCAGACCUUUUAUCACCUGGACAGGAUCCACGCAGGCAGCCUCCAAACCACAUCAAGGGAUUUUAAUUUCCUCACGGCUUUGUUAGCAUUUCACAUUGUUACAGGUCAAAACACAAGGUUAUUUACUAGGAAUGAGAAAUGUCAGUAAUAUGAAUUAUGGGAGCCCCAUGAUUUCCCUCCAGGUAUUCAGAACAACACGCAGUGCCUAUCAUCCUAGUGAGCUUAGCAUGGGCACUGACCUCCCCGGGAUCUUGAGAAUCAUGUGCUUGACUAAGGUCCGAUGAGAGGACAGCCAUCCUAGGCUGGGAAAUGCCAGUGCCUAUUGGAUUUGUUCAAGGAACCUCUUCCUGCAGGCUGCCAUUUUGUUCAAGAAAAUUCUGGAAGGUUCAAAUUCUAUUUCCUAGCCAAUAAGGGAGGGGAAUGAAGAUAUUUGUUCACUCAUUCAAAAAUCACCCAUUUGUCUUCUUACUCCUUUGAUGGUGAGCUCCUGCUGUGCAAAUACUAAUGGGAGAGAAUGUAUAUAGUGGUUUAUGUUUUAUCUUACCAUCUGCUUCCUGUUUCUAUCACCAUAAACUUAGCAAAGAGCUGGGGUAAAGAAGGCCAUGAUAAGGGAGGGAACCACAAGUUCUAAAGAAAAAAAAAGAUGCUUUCAGUAACUGUCAGAAAAAGAACAUUUUGGUUUUUUUUUUAAUUUUUUUUUAAUGUUUAUUUAUUUUUGAGAAGAGACAGGGAGCACUAACA